GACAGAGGGUGCAAACGUUGUUCGGAUUCACUGGGCAUAAAGCGCACGUAGGCGGCUAGGUCUGUUCGAUGUGAAAGCCCCCGGCUCAACCGGGGAAUUGCAUCGGAUACUGCCUGGCUCGAGGACGGUUGGGGUGAGUGGAACUCCUGGUGGAGCGGUGAAAUGCGUAGAUAUCAGGAGGAACACCGGUGGCGAAAGCGGCUCACUGGACCGUUUCUGACGCUGAGGUGCGAAAGCUAGGGGAGCAAACGGGAUUAGAUACCCCGGUAGUCCUAGCUGUAAACGAUGGGCACUGGGUAGGGGGGAUUCCUAUGGUCUUCUCUGCCGAAGCAAAUGUGUUAAGUGCCCCGCCUGGGGAGUACGCUCGCAAGGGUAAA
rnacentral:rRNA from 1 species